rnacentral:rRNA from 1 species
UACGGAGGAUGCGAGCGUUAUCCGGAUUUAUUGGGUUUAAAGGGAGCGUAGGCCGGCUUUUAAGUCAGCUGUGAAAGUCCGCGGCUCAACCGUGGAAUUGCAGUUGAAACUGGAGGCCUUGAGUGCACACAGGGAUGCCGGAAUUCAUGGUGUAGCGGUGAAAUGCAUAGAUAUCACGAAGAACUCCGAUUGCGAAGGCAGCUUACCAGUCUGCGACUGACGCUCAGGCACGAAAGUGUGGGUAUCGAACAGG